AUUGAACGCUGGCGGCAUGCCUUACACAUGCAAGUCGAACGGCAGCAUGGAGAGCUUGCUCUCUGAUGGCGAGUGGCGAACGGGUGAGUAAUGCAUCGGAACGUACCGUGUAAUGGGGGAUAACGUAGCGAAAGUUACGCUAAUACCGCAUACGACCUGAGGGUGGAAGCAGGGGAUCGCAAGACCUUGCGUUAUACGAGCGGCCGAUGUCAGAUUAGCGAGUUGGUGAGGUAAAGGCUCACCAAGGCGACGAUCUGUAGCGGGUCUGAGAGGAUGAUCCGCCACACUGGGACUGAGACACGGCCCAGACUCCUACGGGAGGCAGCAGUGGGGAAUUUUGGACAAUGGGGGCAACCCUGAUCCAGCCAUGCCGCGUGAGUGAAGAAGGCCUUCGGGUUGUAAAGCUCUUUCGGCCGGGAAGAAAUCGCACAGGCUAAUACUCUGUGUGGAUGACGGUACCGGCAUAAGAAGCACCGGCUAACUACGUGCCAGCCGCCGCGGUAA
rnacentral:rRNA from 1 species